rnacentral:misc_RNA from 1 species
GAUGAAGAACGUAGCGAAAUGCGAUAAGUAAUGUGAAUUGCAGAUUUCAGUGAAUCAUCGAAUCUUUGAACGCACCUUGCGCUCCUUGGUAUUCCGAGGAGCAUGCCUGUUUGAGUGUCAUUAAAUUCUCAACUCUCCAACUGUUGUCAUGACUGGUGGUAGAGCUUGGACGUGAGGGUUCUGCCGGCUCCUUGUUGAGUCUGGCUCCCUUGAAAAUGAUUAGCGCAGCUUGCACUGUCCGCUUCAGGUGUGAUAAUUUAUCUACGCCCGACUAGCGACGCGCAUGAAUGGCUUUGUGCUUCUAACCGUCUCGAAAGAGACAAUACCUUUUGAACUUGACCUCAAAUCAGGUAGGACUACCCGCUGAACUUAAGCAUAUCAAUAAGCGGAGGA